GCCCUUACAAAGCAUAAAGGAGCAGGUAUCAGGCACAACCUAUUAGCCCAAAACACCUUGCUACGCCACACCCACACGGGCACCCAGCAGUGAUAAACAUUAAGCAAUGAGUAAAAGCCAACUUAAGCUCGACUUAGUUAUGAUUACUAGGGCUGGUAAAUCUCGUGCCAGCCACCGCGGUUAUACGAGAAGCCCAAAACAACGGACACCGGCGUAAAUUGUGACUAGAGCCCCUACUUAUAAUAUUGGGAAAUAAAUAAAAACCCAACCGUAAAACCUGGGUCAAAAGAGAUAUAUUUUCCCAACUACAAAGAGACUUGAACCCACGAAGACUAAGAAACAAACUAGGAUUAGAUACCCUACUAUGCUUAGUUGUUAACACGAUACCAAAAAACAUCGGUAUCCGCCAGAAAAUUACACGCGAAAAGCUUAAAACUCAAAGGACUUGGCGGUGCUCCGUAUUCGCCUUAGAGGAGCCUGUCCUAUAAUCGAUAACCCCCGCUUUACCUUACCAUCUUUUGUAAAACAGCCUAUAUACCGCCGUCGCAAACUUACCCCAUGAGGGCAUAACAGUAAGUAAAACAGUACCACACUAAUACGUCAGGUCAAGGUGUAGCUAAUAAGAUGGAAGAGAUGGGCUACAUUUUCUAAAAAAGAACAUACGGCAAAGAACAUUGAAAUAUGCUCUAAAAGGUGGAUUUAAUAGUAAGAUAAAAAA
rnacentral:rRNA from 1 species